AGGGUUAUAUGAUCAAGUAAUUAAGAGCACAAGGCGGAUGCCUUGGCAGCUGAAGGCGAUGAAGGACGUAGUAACUUGCGAUAAGCUUCGGGGAG
rnacentral:rRNA from 1 species